UACGUAGGGUGCGAGCGUUAAUCGGAAUUACUGGGCGUAAAGCGUGCGCAGGCGGUGAGUUAAGUCUGAUGUGAAAGCCCCGGGCUCAACCUGGGAAUGGCAUUGGAAACUGGCUCGCUGGAGUGUGGCAGAGGGGGGUGGAAUUCUGCGUGUAGCAGUGAAAUGCGUAGAGAUGCGGAGGAACACCGAUGGCGAAGGCAGCCCCCUGGGCCAACACUGACGCUCAGGCACGAAAGCGUGGGGAGCAAACAGG
rnacentral:rRNA from 1 species